UGCGUAGGUGGUUAGGUAAGACCUGUGGGAAAGACCUGGGCUUAACCCAGGAAGGUCGCAGGUGACUGCCUGGCUAGAGGGCGGGAGAGGAGCGCGGAAUUCCCGGUGUAGCGGUGAAAUGCGUAGAGAUCGGGAGGAAGGCCGGUGGCGAAGGCGGCACUCUGGAACGUUCCUGACACUGAGGCACGAAAGCGUGGGGAGCAAACAGGAUUAGAUACCCUGGUAGUCCACGCCCUAAACGAUGGGUACUAAGUGUCGGCGGGUUACCGCCGGUGCCGCACCUAACGGAGUAAGUACCCCGCCUGGGGAGUACGGCCGCAAGGUUGAA
rnacentral:rRNA from 1 species